rnacentral:tRNA from 1 species
GCCCGGUUAGCUCAAUCGGUAGAGCGUGAGACUCUUACGAGAACGCGAUCUCAAGGUUGCGGGUUCGACCCCCGCAUCGGGCU